rnacentral:rRNA from 1 species
GUACAUCCAGAGAAUUUAGCAGAGAUGCUUUAGUGCCUUCGGGAACUCUGAGACAGGUGCUGCAUGGCUGUCGUCAGCUCGUGUUGUGAAAUGUUGGGUUAAGUCCCGCAACGAGCGCAACCCUUAUCCUUUGUUGCCAGCACGUAAUGGUGGGAACUCAAAGGAGACUGCCGGUGAUAAACCGGAGGAAGGUAGGGAUGACGUCAAGUCAUCAUGGCCCUUACGAGUAGGGCUACACACGUGCUACAAUGGCGCAUACAAAGAGAAGCGACCUCGCGAGAGCAAGCGGACCUCAUAAAGUGCGUCGUAGUCCGGAUUGGAGUCUGCAACUCGACUCCAUGAAGUCGGAAUCGCUAGUAAUCGUAAAUCAGAAUGUUACGGUGAAUACGUUCCCGGGCCUUGUACACACCGCCCGUCACACCAUGGGAGUGGGUUGCAAAAGAAGUAGAUAGCUUAACCUUCGGGAGGGCGUUUACCACUUUGUGAUUCAUGACUGGGGUGAAGUCGUAACAAGGUAAGCGUAGUGCU